GCAAAGUUCCACACAAAGGAGGGGCAUUAUCAAUUCAUGUCUCCCGCCACGGCCACUCUGGCGCUAGCGCCACCAUUAUCCCUCGCCGCGAGUUCGGAGGCGCGUCCUCCACGGCGGACCACCACCGUACGAGCCAACAAGAAGCAAACGCAGGGCGUCGUCGGUUUCGGCGGCGGGAAGAAGGAAACAUCCUGGAACUGCGUGGAAGGUUGUGGAGCCUGCUGUAAGCUCCAAAAGGGUCCUUCGUUUCUCGCCCCAGAAGAAAUUUUCACCGACCCUUCACAUGUUGAGCAAUAUAAAAGCUUGAUUGGUCCUGAUGGAUGGUGUAUUCAUUAUGAAAAGAGUACCAGGAAAUGCUCCAUUUACUCUGAGCGUCCAUAUUUUUGUCGUGUGCAGCCAGAGGUAUUCAAAUCUUUGUAUGAAAUUAAAGAGAAGAGGUUUAACCAGGAGGCCUGCAGAUUCUGCCAGGACACAAUUAAGUCAAUUUAUGGUUCCAAUUCAAAGGAGCUUUCUAAUUUCAACAAGUCAGUGAGAAGCUCUUCUAGUUAGAUUUUGCGACCUUUGGAUUCUUAAUCGUGCAAGAUCAUUUUCUGGUAAACCUUGAUACGCUGGCUGCAGUUCUCUUUUUUGUAUUAUGCCAAUGGUUUGACUGAAUGUGAAUUACAUACUUAAUGGAAUGAAUUCUCCACACAAUGCAUCUGUUUAAGCCUUUCAAGCACUGUGCUAUGAUCCUCUUGAUGAAGCACAUUUACUCUGUUGGGAUUCUUAUGUUGUCAAAAAACAACUUCCUUUGAAAAUUAAAUAUUACUCUCUCAUGCUGCUCCUACAGUGCUACGGUGAUGAAAUGCUUGCAUGGAUUAUCAUGGUUGAUGUCUUGUAUACCAGGUCUUAGCUUCUCUUCGGGUCUUGCAGAAGCAGCUGAAGGUCACAAUUCAAAGCAUCACCUGCUACUGUGAUCGCUAAGUUCUUAGCGCUCAGAAAUAUGAUCUUGAUAGUUUAUAAAAUAUAAGUGUGAACUGAUCUAUGGUUUAUAGAAUAAGUCAUGCCCAUAUCAUGGAUGCUAUUUCUCACUUACAUGACAUUAUUUUUAAUCUCUAAAUUAUACGAAUACUACCAACGUGAUUACUGGGAA